rnacentral:rRNA from 1 species
GAGUUUGAUCGUGGCUCAGAUUGAACGCUGGCGGAAUGCUUUACACAUGCAAGUCGAGCGGCAGCGCGGGGCAACCUGGCGGCGAGCGGCGAACGGGUGAGUAAUGCAUCGGAACAUGUCCAUGUCGUGGGGAUAGCCCGGCGAAAGCCGGAUUAAUACCGCAUACGCCCGAGAGGGAAGCCGGGGACCGCAAGGCCUGGCGCGAUUGGGUUGGCCGAUGUCCGAUUAGCUAGUUGGCGGGGUAAGAGCCACCAAGGCGAUGAUCGGUAGCUGGUCUGAGAGGAUGAUCAGCCACACUGGGACUGAGACAGGCCCAGACUCCUACGGGAGCAGCAGUGGGAAUUUUGGACAAUGGGGGCAACCCUGAUCCAGCCAUUCCGCGUGAG